AAUCAACGCUGGCGGCGUGCCUCAGACAUGCAAGUCGAACGCGAAAGUCUCCUUCGGGGGACAAGUAGAGUGGCGCACGGGUGAGUAACACGUAGGUAAUCUACCUUCGGAUGGGGAAUAACAACCGGAAACGGUUGCUAAUACCGCAUAAUGCAGCGGCACCUAAUGGUGACAGUUGUUAAAGCGGGGGAUCGAAAGACCUCGCGUCUGAAGAGGAGCCUGCGGCGGAUAGCUAGUUGGUAAGGUAACGGCUUACCAAGGCGACGAUCCGUAGCCGGCCUGAGAGGGCGGUCGGCCACACUGACACUGACAUACGGGUCAGACUCCUACGGGAGGCAGCAGUCGGGAAUUUUGGGCAAUGGGCGAAAGCCUGACCCAGCAACGCCGCGUGAAGGAUGAAAUCCCUCGGGAUGUAAACUUCGCAAGAACGGGAAGAAUAAGUAGGGGACAAUACCCCCUAUGAUGACGGUACCGUUUGUAGCUCCGGCUAACUCCGUGCCAGCCGCCGC
rnacentral:rRNA from 1 species